UGGCAACUAUGAUGAAGUAUUUGGUCUGUAUUACUAAAUGAAGACAACAGUCCCUCUAAGCUGAUGUUGCCA
rnacentral:snoRNA from 12 species